AGGCCAUUUACGGCAGUGGGAGGAGCUAGCGAGGAGAAAAGGCACGAGAAAGAGCUACUUUCAAAACCGAGCGAAAGGCAGGCAGGAAGUGGGAGUUGCUUACCGUCAGUCUCUAUUGCAUUUGCCUGCUAAUUACCGUUUAUUGCAUUCAGGCGAUGAGAUAGCCGUUUUAUAUUAUACGAGCUCUUUUAAUUCAACAAGUUUAAAGGUGCUAAUCCCUGGAGUCUUUACAGACGGCUUAACCAGAAUCCAAAGAGGUUAAAUACCAUGCUAAAAUCACACGCGAAGAAAACGAUUCACGCCCAGGCAGUGUUCUGCUGCUGGGCUACAACAGCAGCCCUUACUUGGAAGGAGAUGGGAAGAAGGUGUCUGACUUGGGGAAGUAUGGCCACCUUUGUCCUCUCUACGCGGGUCUCUGAGAGUCCAGCGUCCACGUUGUGCUUUAGCUGAGGCUAAUGACUUCAAGUACAGUGUUUCCUGUUUCACCAGAAGAAAUAAAGUCACUGGGUGCCUA
rnacentral:lncRNA from 1 species